rnacentral:lncRNA from 1 species
GUGGCUUCAGUUUGUGGUUUUUUGCAGAUACCCAUGCCCUAAGCAAUGCCUUAAUCCGUUUAAACAACGCCUUAAAGAUUGCUUCACUUGUUUUAUGACACUGUAGUUCUCGGAGACUUAUGCCUUAAACAGGAGCGGGCCUUUUGGUACCUCUGAGGCAUAUGGGAGUGUCGGCUGUGCCCGUGUGUAAGGUUAAUCCUGCUUUCAAACGGAGCACCUGGCUUAAAUCAUUAAAAGCAGAGUUCAUGACCCUGUGUUUUAAUUCCAGAUAAUUCACCAUACUUUUUCUAAUUUGUGUUUUAUCGUCCUGUCUGAAAAUAUCUCCCUUCUCACUUCAGACCUUCACUUCCUCCUCUUUUGUCAUUUAGACCUUCCACCUUGCUUUUUCUGUGCCCCCGUUUUUGUCUGAUCGCCUCUGGCUUCCAGUUAAUUUCCUGUUGCUACCCCGCCUCACCCCACGCCCUCUCUCCCGCGUUCCAAGCUUUCUCCUGAGCUCCUUUGGAUGCGGAGCCCAAGUUCAUGCGCUCUUUGAAAUCGGUACCCUCAGCGUGCCUGUCCCACACCUGUGCAAGAUUGUGAGGAAACAGAGAAGCGGGACGGGGGGAAGAAAUGGUGAGGACAGCGGCCCCAGGCUGCGCGCGUCCGUCUCCUGAGAGGCAGUUUGCAGUCUGGCUGACUUCAUGGACUACUGACAGCCUUCCUUACUGGCUGACGAAUUUGGUUACUUUUAUUCUAUGACCUCAACAGCAUGGUUUUCAUCACCUCCCCUUUAUCAUGUUAAGAACUUAUCUCACUGGAAUUUGGAUACAGAAGUACCCAUUCCUGAAAAUAAAAACCUCCCACCUGGAAGGGAUGGUGCCACAGGUGACAAAAUGAACAAGAACCAUGGAAAUUCCAGUAGAGCAACUCAUGCUGCUUUAUAG